rnacentral:rRNA from 1 species
AACGAACGCUGGCGGCAUGCCUAACACAUGCAAGUCGAACGAGACCUUCGGGUCUAGUGGCGCACGGGUGCGUAACGCGUGGGAACCUGCCCUUAGGUUCGGAAUAACUCCCCGAAAGGGGUGCUAAUACCGGAUAAUAUCUUCGGACCAAAGAUUUAUCGCCUUUGGAUGGGCCCGCGUUGGAUUAGCUAGUUGGUAGGGUAAAAGCCUACCAAGGCGACGAUCCAUAGCUGGUCUGAGAGGAUGAUCAGCCACACUGGGACUGAGACACGGCCCAGACUCCUACGGGAGGCAGCAGUGGGGAAUAGUGGACAAUGGGCGAAAGCCUGAUCCAGCAAUGCCGCGUGAGUGAUGAAGGCCUUAGGGUUGUAAAGCUCUUUUACCCGGGAUGAUAAUGACAGUACCGGGAGAAUAAGCGCCGGCUAACUCCGUG